rnacentral:rRNA from 1 species
GACGAACGCUGGCGGUGUGCUUAACACAUGCAAGUCGAACGGUAAGGCCCUUUCGGGGGUACACGAGUGGCGAACGGGUGAGUAACACGUGAGUAACCUGCCCUCAUCUCUGGGAUAACAGUCGGAAACGGUUGCUAAUACUGGAUAUGAGCUUGCAAGGCAUCUUGUGGGUUGGAAAGAUUUUUUGGUUGGGGAUGGACUCGCGGCCUAUCAGCUUGUUGGUGAGGUAGUGGCUCACCAAGGCUUCGACGGGUAGCCGGCCUGAGAGGGCGACCGGCCACAUUGGGACUGAGAUACGGCCCAAACUCCUACGGGAGGCAGCAGUGGGGAAUAUUGCACAAUGGACGGAAGUCUGAUGCAGCAACGCCGCGGGCGGGAUGACGGCCUUCGGGUUGUAAACCGCUUUCAAUUGUGACGAAGCUUUUUGUGACGGUAGCAGUAGAAGAAGCACCGGCUAACUACGUG